UGCCUAACACAUGCAAGUCGAACGAACUCUGGUAUUGAUUGGUGCUUGCAUCAUGAUUUACAUUUGAGUGAGUGGCGAACUGGUGAGUAACACGUGGGAAACCUGCCCAGAAGCGGGGGAUAACACCUGGAAACAGAUGCUAAUACCGCAUAACAACUUGGACCGCAUGGUCCGAGUUUGAAAGAUGGCUUCGGCUAUCACUUUUGGAUGGUCCCGCGGCGUAUUAGCUAGAUGGUGGGGUAACGGCUCACCAUGGCAAUGAUACGUAGCCGACCUGAGAGGGUAAUCGGCCACAUUGGGACUGAGACACGGCCCAAACUCCUACGGGAGGCAGCAGUAGGGAAUCUUCCACAAUGGACGAAAGUCUGAUGGAGCAACGCCGCGUGAGUGAAGAAGGGUUUCGGCUCGUAAAACUCUGUUGUUAAAGAAGAACAUAUCUGAGAGUAACUGUUCAGGUAUUGACG
rnacentral:rRNA from 2 species